UUGACCUCGGAUCAGGUAGGGAUACCCGCUGAACUUAAGCAUAUCAAUA
rnacentral:rRNA from 232 species